UGACUCAGGAGAGGCGGCACCCCAAA
rnacentral:piRNA from 1 species